UUACCGUAUAUAAAUAGGAUAAAAUACCUUUAUAUAAUAUUUCACAUUCUGACAGUCAAAUGAACCAAAAAGUAACAGAGGCAAGCCUACAAGUGUCUGCAAGAAAACAAAACCCAAAAGAAACCAACCACCAACAUUCCCCCUGUAAAAGACAAAAGCACAGAGAAAUAAAGCAGAGGAUUUGUGGAAGGGAUAAGCACAUCCGCAUCAGAAGAAGAAAAACAGGAGGGUAGAGUCUGUGAGUGCAGAAAGGGGGCAUCAAAGGGGUUCACAAGUUCUCGUUGACACAGACAUGCCGAUGAGCACAAUGGUUGUAUUGCCAGCUUUAGAUAUUGUGAAUGUGGGACUUUUCUGUCAACCUAAGCUACCCCUCCAAACAUACAGAGCUGUUAGCAGAAAGAAUUGGGGAGGGAGGGACUGAGACAGCUUGGAAAGGGAUGGCGAAGAGUCUGCUUUGAUGCUUGGGAAAUCUGUUGUCUAGAGGCAGUUAAGUAUUCCUUCUGGGAGCCCUUGCUAGCAAGCGGGGCAAGGAGUCCCCCUCAGAUACAAGUGGCAGAGCACCCCAAAAGAUAUGCCCUGGGACCCCCUCUUUGAUAUAACAAAGGGGAGUUAUGAGGACGUCAGCCUUCGAGCUCCUGAAACGUCAAAUCUCAUACUUCUGCUAAGCCACCAGUACCAGUUAAGCAAAGGGUCUUUUAAUUGGGGGGAGAGGGAGUUGACCAGUGUUCCCCAGUUCUUCUGUCCCCAACUCCACUCAGCCAGCCUUCCAUAUCCCCACUCAAAGCAUCACAACCGCCUCGCAAGUGAGUGCCCGGCUUCUGCUCCAGAGACACUGCUUUGUGUUGGUGUCUCUCUCCUGACUGAGUUCAGUCCCAAAGAAUGCAGAAUCCGGACUUGGGCCCAGCUCCAACCCCUGUGAAAUCCAGCCUCCUCACACAACCCCUCUGGAUCCACCUUCCCCAUCCCAUGAGAGGUGUGCAGGGCCCAGCUACCACUGGGAUUGUGGGGAGGUGGGCCAAGGUCACCUGGCUCACGUGUGACGCGCAACACACCUCCAGCUCCACCUGGGUUGCUGGUGCGCGCACACCGUGUGCCAGGCAAUCAGGCCAGCCAACCAGGGAGAAGGACACACUUUGGCCUGACUAGGCCUAGAAUAUGGAGUACACACUCCUCUAAGUAAUAGCUACGGCGCCCCAAUUUAAUCCUGCUCAACUCCAGGCCAACUCAGGGUUUUUUCACCAGCAAAUACACCCACACCGCUAAUGACCCCUUAAGCAACUCCACUGCAUGCCAAACUGCCUUUUGUGACCUGCUGCUCCCCUUACUAUGUGCCAGACCUUUGCUACCUGUGUGCAACUGGAGUAAGACCCACAGGCUUCCCUUUGGGCAGGAGAGACUCUCUCCCACUUACACCUCAGCCCCUUGGAGGAACCAGCUGUUUCUGGGUUAAUGCUCUGGAUCCCUGAGCAGCCCUUUUCUAAUAUGGAUGGGUCACAGCCCUCUGUGAACUCCCCGAAAGAGAAAACUAAUACGCCAUUAAAAACAAAACAAAAAAGAUAUCGAACAUAAAACCGUCUAUAAUGUUGUCAUCUAAUGACUAAAACCGGGAUGUGAAUUCUUCCUGUUCUGGGUAACUUUAAAUGAGUGCCAGUUCUCAGGGGUGCUCCUGUGGUGCCUUUGCAACAGAAAUGCCAGCACUUUGUUUGACUUAUACCCAAGACUGGCUCUUGCAAGGAUCUGUAGACUGCAGGGGUGUCCAGCAUGUCACUCAUGCGCUGGGACACUGAACCCACCUAAAAAUGCAUUGCCAUGAGAAGCAAUCCCGGAACAGCGCGCACCUAUCCAGACAGAGUGCACACAACGAGCCUUAUAUAUUAGAAGUGUUGUUGGCUGUUGCAGGUAUAUAUAGGUCUAGGAUACACUGUUCAUUUCUAGUUCCCUUUCGGAGGCAGGAUGUAAGGGAUUGUGGCUACCAGUCAAAUAGCUGAAUUUAGCUGGAAUCAGGAAAUGUCAAUGACAUUUCAAUGAAACAGAGACCCCCCCUUGAACCCCUUCCCCCAAUUUUGUUUAUUAAUUAAUUACUGUUGCAUGGCCACCCGUUGUCCCACAUACCCAUUCUGCUUCUGUCCUGCUUCGCCCAAGGUCAAAACACUGAGUAAGUUCAAACAAACACACACACACACACACACACACACACACACUUGCCCUUUUUUAGGUCUCAAAACCCAAAACUUCAAAAUGGCAGGCAUGUCCAAUUUUGGGGUCAGCUGUGGUUAAAAGGCCAUCGUUAGAUCAGGAAUAAAGACUGUUUCCUUUGGGGAGGGGGGGGCGUAUUGACAGCAGAGGAAAACGAAGAAUGGGGCAAAAAUAUUUCCCUGCAACCCCCCUCAACUCAAUAAGCUUCUCCCACCCUGUGGUUUCAGAUGCCUGGACUCCGAACCCGAGAGCGUUUGGGGCAGAUGGGAUGAGGGAAUAUACCAGAAGAGGCAGCAAAACAGUAUUAAGUGAGCAGCUCUCAAAAAUACACCUUAAAAAAAGAAGAAAAAGCUAAUCAGCAAAGUGCUCCUCACGCACUCUCUUCUGUCGCAGAGGAAGUGACAGCACAGACGGUCAAGGCUGACCCUGAACUGGAACCACGUCAAGAGACACUUGCGUGGUAUUACACCUAAGCUAGCAGAUGCUCCGUGACUCAGGCCCAGAUCUCAAAGCAUGCGUAAAUCUGAAUCAAGGCUGGACCACUUCAGGCUGUGAUGGGGGCUCAACGUGGUUGAAAUUUCCUCCUUCCAACAAAACCCAAAACAAAUAAACCCCCAAAUAAACUCCAACACACACCUUCAAAUGGAAAACGAACAGAAUCUUUAUCCUCACCCUCUUACUUUCUGAGUCCUGAUAAUGCCUUUUUUAUGCAUGAGCUUUCAGUCUUGAGAGUCCCUUUCUGCAACUGAGAGUGGGACCAGUGCCUUGGGAACGAGGACUCCAGUGGGAGCGUUUGAGGGGGCAGAAGACAAACAGGAGCCUCACAACAGCAGGGACUAAAACAGCUGCAUGAGCUGGACAAUACAAUGGCAAGCCUCUGCUCCUUUACGACCCCUUGAAGUUCCCAGGAGGCCAGGUGUCCUGCCUCAAUAUCCAUCUAUUCAGGUACUUCUCCUCCAAAAUUAAGGAAGGCUUAAAAAAAGAAGCAGCAAAAAAUAUCCAAAAAAA